AGUGACGUCAUUUAAUGACGUCCUUAUGACGCAUGCUACCUUCUGCUCGGACUGCGAGUGGAGAAGAGAUCAUGUCUGCUACAGCAUCUGAUGAAAAGCGGGAGAUACCCGAAUUUCAAGCUUCAUCAGUGCGCGACGAAGCAAGAAGACUAGCAAGCCAUCUUGAAACGACGUUUGAAGGCUCGUCUGGCCGGUCGCACGUCAGAAAUGUUGCUGAUGACCAGGGUAGCGCGCGGCCACAUCCGGGCUGUGAUUACAACAUGUCGCUGUUGCUAUGGCAAAUAUUCAGAAGGUUACUGUGUUUUCCCGUCACCCCUUCCUCUUCCACCAACAGCUGGCUCUGUGUUCUUCCCUUGAUGGGUCAUUAACAUUGCUCUUGGAGAAGCUCCCCUUUACCUAGCCUUUACCCCAUCGCCUUCCUACCCUCAGCUCGCACAAGCUGGUGAUGAGUGUAAUUAGUCUACCACAAGAGGCAGGCAGCGAGCGGCCAUUAGUUUCGGUCAUUUGCAAGAACUCGACUCAUCCCUUGGUGCCCCGAUACGCUGAUUGGCUCUGACGGUCAAGUACCUGCGCCGUAGAGAGGCCCAGUCCCGGCUUGACGGAGAACUUGGAAAAUAGAGGGUUACUGGAGAUCGUUAAGCAGGCAGCCGCUGUCUUCUCUUCGUAAUGGCCAUCGCAACAACUGCUGCCGUGAUGGAGUAAGUACUACGUCCAGACGUAGGAGUGGGUUGUCGUGGCGCACAGGGAUACCUGUGUCUAGUCACACCUACAUAGGCGGAGUUUGAAGAACACCGAGGCAUAUGGAUACACUGGUUCACUCAACAGUUAAAUCUGGAAACUAAAUUUUCAUCUGCUCAAUGCGCUGUUGACCAGUUUUAGAAAUAACAGACACCGCACUGUGAUGGUGACGUUCGAGGCGUCACUCGUCUUUACGUCUUGUGUGAUACUCUCCACGUGAUGGCCUCUUGGUGAUCACUACUGUGUCAUCAUCUUUGUAUAUCGUUCUUACGAAACACUUUAAUAAUCACAAACGUUCGGGAUUCUGUGCGUCCAUGUGUAGAUCGCCCUACAGUCAUAAAGAUUUUACUUUCAUGGAAAAGUUUUACACAUAAAGAGCAUCCUUCAUUUGUAGAUUAUGAUAAUCUUUAUCAGCAAGGGACAAUUUCGUGCACCCUAUACAAAUUUAUUUGCAUCUCAAUAUAUACAUACACGCGCAAAUGCUCUAAUACGCAUAAGAACAAACACACACACACACGCGCGCGCGCAGGCAAACAGGAAUAUGAAAUUAGAUUGAGAAAAGAGCACUAAACACUCAGCUAUAAACAAUCUACAACAGGGAGAAAGUGACAGGUACAAAGGUGUGAUAUGCACAGACAGAUGCUGCGACAGACUUGAGUACGCAGCA